CGAACGGGUGAGUAACGCGUGGGUAACCUACCUCUUAGCGGGGGACAACUAUUGGAAACGAUAGCUAAUACCGCAUAACAAUACUUAACACAUGUUAAGUAUUUGAAAGCACCAAUUGGUGCACUAAGAGAUGGACCCGCGUUGUAUUAGCUAGUUGGUAGUGUAAUGGACUACCAAGGCGAUGAUACAUAGCCGACCUGAGAGGGUGAUCGGCCACAUUGGGACUGAGACACGGCCCAAACUCCUACGGAAGGCAGCAG
rnacentral:rRNA from 1 species